rnacentral:rRNA from 1 species
AUUGAACGCUGGCGGCAGGCUUAACACAUGCAAGUCGAGCGGAGCGGCGGACGGGUGCGUAAUGUCUAGGAAUCUGCCUGCUACUGGUGGAUAACGUUCGCUAACGGGCGCUAAUACCGCAUACUAUCACACUAGCUUAGGUGGGAUUAGCUAGCUGGUGGGGUAAAGGCCUACCAAGGCGACGAUCCGUAACUGGUCCGAGAGGAUGAUCAGUAAGACUGGAACUGAGACACGGUCCAGACUCCUACGGGAGGCAGCAGUGGGGAAUAUUGGACAAUGGGGGAAAGCCUGAUGCAGCCAGGCGGCGUGUGUGAAGAAGGUCUUCGGAUGGUAAAGCACUUUAAGUUGGGAGGCGUUACCAGCAGAAUAAGCACCGGCUAACUACGUGCCAGCAGCCGCGGUAAUAC